GAAUAUAAGAUUUAUGCUUCUUCGGAGGGUUCACAUGUAGCCGUGCUCGUGAUAAAAAAGUAGUUUUUUGCAUCAGCUCUUUCAAAUUUUUUUUUUAGGGUUCUAUCAAAUUUUUAUUUGCACAAAUGACUCUCUUCCUACUACGUGAGCAUCAAGUUGGAUAGAAGAAGACAAUGAAUACGGUGAUUCAGUCAUCAUAUCACCAUCAUGUUUAAACAUCAAAUUAUCGUAUUUAUAUUCACACUCUAGCCUUUAUUAUUCGACUUAGGGGCAAUGAGAAUUAAAAAAAUACAUUAAAGGAUGGGCGCCAUUUAUUAAAAAAGAAAAGAAGGAAGAGAGACUAAAUGCAAAACAAAAAUAAAGGAGUAAACUUCAAAUACCCCUAUGUAGUUUCGCAUUUUUUUUAUUUUACUACCAUGUGAUUUAAAGUGUAUUAAUUUAGUACUCGUGGUUUUAUUUUUAUCUUUUCAUCAGAUUUUUUUCGUUAAAUCAGUGACGAAGCUAAAACUAAAAGGUAUUUAAGUAAAUACUCGAUAAGCUAUAGGUAGGGUAUUUAAAGUUUUUUAUAUAUAAUUUAACGAAAUAUUAACGGAGGAGCUGACGAAAAGAAAAAAAUAAAACCACUCAUCUUGCCCUUGUUAGGUAAGACGCCAACAGCAUGGGCCCUCCCGCUUAAAGGGCUCUAUUCGGUCUCCACCGAAGUCGUAGAGUCUAUAGGUUCGAUAACCUUCUCUCAAGAUUCCACCAAGUCAUCGGUAUCGUCAGCAAUCUACUCUUAUUUUUUGGUGUCAAAGAGCGAGUUCCUGUCUUUUGUCUUGCCCAAAAACCUUUUCUCAUUGAAGAAAGACUCUCCUGCGGCAAGGCAGUCCAGCUGCUUUCUUUAUCUCGCUUGCCGCGUGAAGCUUCGGAGCCCCCGGGGGUUUGAUACUAAAUUGAUACACUUUAAAUCAUAUGAUACUAAAAUGAGAAAAAUGUAAAAUCACAUAGGUGGUAUUUGAAUUUACCCAAAAUAAAAAACAAAAAAGUGAAAAUUUUGAU
rnacentral:lncRNA from 1 species